GCUGGGUGUGGUGGUGCGCGCCUGUAAUCCCAGCUACUCAGGAGGCUGAAGUGGGAGGAUUGCUUGAACCCAGGAGGUGAAGGUUGCAGUGAGCCAAGACUGCACCACUGCACUCCAGCCUGGGUGACAGAGCAAGAUCCCAUCUCAG
rnacentral:sRNA from 1 species